rnacentral:rRNA from 1 species
GAUGAACGCUGGCGGCGUGCCUAAUACAUGCAAGUCGAGCGAACGGACGAGAAGCUUGCUUCUCUGAUGUUAGCGGCGGACGGGUGAGUAACACGUGGAUAACCUACCUAUGAGACUGGGAUAACUUCGGGAAACCGGAGCUAAUACCGGAUGAUAUUUUGAACCGCAUGGUUCAAAAGUGAAAGACGGUCUUGCUGUCACUUAUAGAUGGAUCCGCGCUGCAUUAGCUAGUUGGUAAGGUAACGGCUUACCAAGGCAACGAUGCAUAGCCGACCUGAGAGGGUGAUCGGCCACACUGGAACUGAGACACGGUCCAGACUCCUACGGGAGGCAGCAGUAGGGAAUCUUCCGCAAUGGGCGAAAGCCUGGCGGAGCAACGCCGCGUGAGUGAUGAAGGUCUUCGGAUCGUAAAACUCUGUUAUUAGGGAAGAACAUAUGUGUAAGUAACUGUGCACAUCUUGACGGUACCUAAUCAGAAAGCCACGGCUAACUACGUG